GAAACGACUGCUAAGACUGGAUAGGAAAAGUAAAGGCAUCUUCACUUUUUUAAAAGACCUUCUUUGAAGGUAUGCUUAAGGAGGGGCUUGCGACACAUUAGUUAGUUGGCAGGGUAAAGGCCUACCAAGACUAUGAUGUGUAGCUGGACUGAGAGGUUGAACAGCCACAUUGGGACUGAGACACGGCCCAAACUCCUACGGGAGGCAGCAGUAGGGAAUUUUCGGCAAUGGAGGAAACUCUGACCGAGCAACGCCGCGUGAACGAUGAAGUAUUUCGGUAUGUAAAGUUCUUUUAUUAAGGAAGAAAAAAGAGUGGAAAAACUCCCUUGACGGUACUUAAUGAAUAAGCCCCGGCUAAUUAUGUGCCAGCAGCCGCGGUAAUACAUAAGGGGCGAGCGUUAUCCGGAAUUAUUGGGCGUAAAGGGUGCGUAGGCGGUUUAAUAAGUCUAUAGUUUAAUUUCAGUGCUUAACGCUGUUAUGCUAUAGAAACUGUUUUACUAGAGUGAGAUAGAGGCAAGCGGAAUUCCAUGUGUAGCGGUAAAAUGCGUAAAUAUAUGGAGGAACACCAGAGGCGUAGGCGGCUUGCUGGGUCUUUACUGACGCUGAGGCACGAAAGCGUGGGGAGCAAACAGGAUUAGAUACCCUGGUAGUCCACGCUGUAAACGAUGAGUACUAAGUGUCGGGUAAAACCGGUACUGAAGUUAACACAUUAAGUACUCCGCCUGAGUAGUACGUACGCAAGUAUGAAACUUAAAGGAAUUGACGGGACUCCGCACAAGCGGUGGAUCAUGUUGUUUAAUUCGAAGAUACACGAAAAACCUUACCAGGUCUUGACAUUUUCUUGCGAAGUUAUAGAAAUAUAAUGGAGGUUAUCAGGAAAACAGGUGGUGCAUGGUUGUCGUCAGCUCGUGUCGUGAGAUGUUAGGUUAAGUCCUAAAACGAGCGCAACCCUUGUCGUUAAUUGCCAGCAUGUAAUGAUGGGGACUUUAACGAGACUGCCAAUGAAAAAUUGGAGGAAGGUGGGGAUUACGUCAAAUCAUCAUGCCCCUUAUGAUCUGGGCUACAAACGUGAUACAAUGGUUGAUACAAAGAGUAGCUGAAACGCGAGUUCUUAGCCAAUCUCACAAAAUCAAUCUCAGUUCGGAUUGAAGUCUGCAACUCGACUUCAUGAAGUUGGAAUCGCUAGUAAUCGCGAA
rnacentral:rRNA from 1 species